UCGGAUAUGGUGUAAUGGUUAACAUUACCGCCUCUCAUCGAUGGGUUCGCGGUAGCUCGGGGUUCGAUUCCCCGUAUCCGAA
rfam:Suillus luteus TH-Slu-Lm8-n1 unplaced genomic scaffold CY34scaffold_420, whole genome shotgun sequence.